rnacentral:rRNA from 1 species
GCUUGUCUCAAAGAUUAAGCCAUGCAUGUCUAAGUACGCACGGCCGGUACAGUGAAACUGCGAAUGGCUCAUUAAAUCAGUUAUGGUUCCUUUGGUCGCUCGCUCCUCUCCUACUUGGAUAACUGUGGUAAUUCUAGAGCUAAUACAUGCUAUCAAGCCCGACUUCUUGAAGGGUUGUAUUUAUUAGACUUAAGCCAAUAUUCCUUGUGUCUAUUGCGAUGAUUCAUAAUAACUGAUCGAAUCUCAAAUUUGAGAUAAAUCAUUCAAGUUUCUGCCCUAUCAGCUUUCGAUGGUAGUGUAUUGGACUACCAUGGCAGUAACGGGUAACGAAGAAUUAGGGUUCGAUUUCGGAGAGGGAGCAUGAGAAACGGCUACCACAUCUAAGGAAGGCAGCAGG